CGAAGUUUCCCUCAGGAUAGCUGGAGCCCAUUACGAGUUCUAUCAGGUAAAGCCAAUGAUUAGAGGCAUUGGGGACGCAACGUCCUCGACCUAUUCUCAAACUUUAAAUAGGUA
rnacentral:ncRNA from 1 species